GGGAUCGGGGCUGGGCCGGGGCGGCCAUGCCGUAUGCCAACCAGCCCACCGUGCACAUCACCGAGCUGACGGAUGAGAACGUCAAGUUCAUCAUUGAGAACACGGACCUGGCGGUGGCAAAUUCCAUUCGAAGAGUGUUCAUCGCUGAAGUCCCCACCAUAGCCAUCGACUGGGUCCAGAUAGAUGCCAACUCCUCCGUGCUCCACAAUGAGUUCAUUGCACACAGGCUGGGCCUCAUCCCUCUCACCAGCGAUGACAUUGUGGAUAAGAUGCAAUAUUCCAGAGACUGUACAUGUGACGAGUUCUGCCCCGAGUGCUCCGUGGAGUUCACCCUGGAUGUUCGCUGCAACGAGGACCAGACCCGUCACGUCAUGUCCCGUGACCUCAUCUCCAACAAUCCCCGGGUCAUUCCGGUGACGUCUUGGAGCAGAGACAAUGACCCCAAUGACUACGUGGAGCAGGAUGACAUCCUCAUUGUGAAGCUGCGGAAGGGGCAGGAGCUCCGGCUGAGAGCCUACGCCAAGAAGGGCUUUGGGAAGGAGCACGCCAAGUGGAACCCCACGGCGGGCGUGGCCUUCGAGUACGACCCAGACAACGCGCUGAGGCACACCGUGUACCCCAAACCAGAGGAGUGGCCCAAGAGUGGAGAUCGACGCCGAGGAUGCUCAGGCUCCCUAUGACCCCAACGGGAAGCCAGAGAGGUUCUACUACAACGUGGAGUCCUGCGGUUCUCUGCGUCCGGAGACCAUCGUUCUGUCCGCAUUGUCCGGCCUGAAGAAGAAACUGAGCGACCUCCAGACCCAGCUGAGCCACGAGAUUCAGAGUGACGUCCUCACUAUUAACUGAGGUGGCUCCUUGCAAGAGAGUGCUGAGGUGUGAGUGAUGGAGCAGGUCCUUGCCUCUGCCUGGCCAUGA